UAAUCGCGGAUCAGCAUGCCGCGGUGAAUACGUUCCCGGGCCUUGUACACACCGCCGUCACACCAUAGGGGUUGGGAGCGCCCGAAGCCGGUGAGGUAACCGAGAGGAGCCAGCCGUCGAAGGUGAGACCAAUGACUGGGGUGAAGUCGUAACAAGGUAGC
rnacentral:rRNA from 1 species